rnacentral:rRNA from 1 species
GGUCAGAUUGAAAGAUGCGGGCAGGGUUUAACACCUGCAAGUUGAGCGGGGGGAAGGUAGCUUGCUACCGGACCUAGCGGCGGACGGGUGAGUAAUGCUUAGGAAUCUGCCCUAUUAGUGGGGGACAACAUCUCGAAAGGGAUGCUAAUACCGCAUACGUCCUACGGGAGAAAGCAGGGGAUAUUCCGGACCUUGCGGUAAUAGAUGAGCCUAAGUCGGAUUAGCUAGUUGGUGGGGUAAAGGCCUAUCAAGGCGACGAUCUGUAGCGGGUCUGAGAGGAUGAUCCGCCACACUGGGAAUGAGACACGGGCCAGACUCCUACGGGAGGCAGCAGUGGGGAAUAUUGGACAAUGGGGGGAACCCUGAUCCAGCCAUGCCGCGUGUGUGAAGAAGGCCUUAUGGUUGUAAAACACUUUAAGCGAGGAGGAGGAUACUCUAGUUAAAACCUAGGGAUAGUGGACGGUACUCGCAGAAUAAGCACCGGCUAACUUUGUGCCAGCAGCCGCGGUAAUACAGAGGGUGCGAGCGUUAAUUGGAUUUACUGGGCGUAAAGCGUGCGUCGGCGGCUUAUUAAGUCGGAUGUGAAAUCCCCGAGCUUAACUUGGGAAUUGCAUUCGAUACUGGUGAGCUAGAGUAUGGGAGAGGAUGGUAGAAUUUCAGGUGUAGCCGUGAAAUGCGUAGAGAUCUGGAGGAAUCCCGAUGGCGAAGGCCAGCCAUCUGGCCUAAUACUGACGCUGAGGUCCGAAAGGAUGGGGAGCAAAACCGGGUUAGAUUACCCUGGUUAUUCCAUCCCGUUAAACGGAGUUUAAUAGCCGUUGGGGCCUUUGAGGCUUUAGUGGCGCAUCUCACGCUGAUAAGUAGACCGCCUGGGGAGUACGGUCGCAAGACUAAAACUCAAAUGAAUUGACGGGGGCCCGCACAAGCGGUGGAGCAUGUGGUUUAAUUCAAUGCAACGCGAAGAACCUUACCUGGCCUUGACAUACUAGAAACUUUCCAAAGAUGGAUUGGUGCCUUCGGGAAUCUAGAUACAGGUGCUGCAUGGCUGUCGUCAGCUCGUGUCGUGAGAUGUUGGGUUAAGUCCCGCAACGAGCGCAACCCUUUUCCUUACUUGCCAGCAUUUCGGAUGGGAACUUUAAGGAUACUGCCAGUGACAAACUGGAUGAAGGCGGGGACGACGUCUAGUCAUCAUGGCCCUUACGGCCAGGGCUACACACGUGCUACAAUGGUCGGUACAAAGGGUUGCUACACAGCGAUGUGAUGCUAAUCUCAAAAAGCCGAUCGUAGUCCGGAUUGGAGUCUGCAACUCGACUCCUUGAAGUCGGAAUCACUAGUAAUCGCGAAUCACAAUGCCGCGGUGAAUACGUUCCCGGGCCUUGUACACACCGCCCGUCACACCAUGGGAGUUUGUUGCACCAGAAGUACCUAGCCUAACUGCAAAGAGGGCGGUUACCACGGUGUGGCCUAUGACUGAGGUGAAGUCAUAACAAGGUAACCGUAAC